rnacentral:rRNA from 1 species
AUUGAACGCUGGCGGCAGGCCUAACACAUGCAAGUCGAGCGAGCGGCGGACGGGUGAGUAAUGUCUGGGAAACUGCCUGAUGGAGGGGGAUAACUCCUGGAAACGGUAGCUAAUAUCGCAUACCAUCAUAUGAGCCCAGAUGGGUUUAGCUAGUAGGUGGGGUAAUGGCUCACCUAGGCGACGAUCCAUAGAUGGUUUGAGAGGAUGACCAGCCACACUGGAACUGAGACACGGUCCAGACUCAUACGGGAGGCAGCAGUGGGGAAUAUUGCUCAAUGGGCGCAAGCCUGAAGCAUCCAUGCCGCGUGUGUGAAGAAGGCAUUCGGGUUGUAAAGCACUUUCAGCGGGGAGGCGUUACCCGCAGAAGAAGCACCGGCUAACUCCGUGCCAGCAGCCGCGGUAAUUC